AUUGAACGCUGGCGGCAGGCCUAACACAUGCAAGUCGAGCGGAUGAAGGGAGCUUGCUCCUGGAUUCAGCGGCGGACGGGUGAGUAAUGCCUAGGAAUCUGCCUGGUAGUGGGGGAUAACGUCCGGAAACGGGCGCUAAUACCGCAUACGUCCUGAGGGAGAAAGUGGGGGAUCUUCGGACCUCACGCUAUCAGAUGAGCCUAGGUCGGAUUAGCUAGUUGGUGGGGUAAAGCCCUACCAAGGCGACGAUCCGUAACUGGUCUGAGAGGAUGAUCAGUCACACUGGAACUGAGAAACGGUCCAGACUCCUACGGGAGGCAGCAGUGGGGAAUAUUGGACAAUGGGCGAAAGCCUGAUCCAGCCAUGCCGCGUGUGUGAAGAAGGUCUUCGGAUUGUAAAGCACUUUAAGUUGGGAGGAAGGGCAGUAAGUUAAUACCUUGCUGUUUUGACGUUACCAACAGAAUAAGCACCGGCUAACUUCGUG
rnacentral:rRNA from 1 species